rnacentral:rRNA from 1 species
CGCUGGCGGCACGCCUAACACAUGCAAGUCGAACGGAGAUUGAGAGCUUGCUCUUAAAUCUUAGUGGCGGACGGGUGAGUAACACGUGAGCAACCUGCCUCUGAGAGAGGGAUAGCUUCUGGAAACGGAUGGUAAUACCUCAUAACAUUACAUGACCGCAUGAUCGUGUAAUCAAAGAUUUAUCACUCAGAGAUGGGCUCGCGUCUGAUUAGCUAGUUGGUGAGGUAACGGCCCACCAAGGCGACGAUCAGUAGCCGGACUGAGAGGUUGAACGGCCACAUUGGGACUGAGACACGGCCCAGACUCCUACGGGAGGCAGCAGUGAGGGAUAUUGCACAAUGGAGGAAACUCUGAAUGCAGCGAUGCCGCGUGGAGGAAGAAGGUUUUCGGAUUGUAAACUCCUGUUUCGAGGGACGAUAAUGACGGUACCUCGGGAGGAAGCUCCGGCUAACUACGUGCCAGCCGCAGC